UACAGAAGUCCCAAGCGUUGUUCGGAUUUAUUGGGCGUAAAGGGUGCGUAGGCGGCGGAGUAAGUUGGGUGUGAAAUCCCGGGGCUCAACCUCGGAAUUGCAUUCAAUACUGCUUCGCUAGAGUACUGGAGAGGAGGCUGGAAUUUACGGUGUAGCAGUGAAAUGCGUAGAUAUCGUAAGGAAGGCCGGUGGCGAAAGCGAGCCUCUGGACAGUUACUGACGCUGAUGCACGAAGGCCAGGGGAGCAAACGGG
rnacentral:rRNA from 1 species